rnacentral:lncRNA from 1 species
AACAUUUCUCUAACAGAAUUUUUUUAACUUUUUCUAAAAGGCAAGGAAGGCUUACAUUCAUGCAAAACAAAACAACCCCACGUUAAUUAAGUUCUUUUUUUCUUCUAAAAUUCAAAAACUCUUUCCUAUUGUGCUUGCUAAAUCCGGAAGAGCUUGUAGCUUUGACAGCUUGAACCACACCAUCCCCUUCAGAGCCGCAGAGAACUUCAGAUCUUCUCUGUCCCGCCCCCUCUGGCUACUGAGAACCAUUGUACACCCAAGCUUGGAUAUGAUUGGGUAAAGCUUUUGUCAAUCUCCCCUAUGGUCCCAUUGAUUAGAGGAUCGAAUCGUCAAUUAUUCUCCCGGUCCAGACAUUUCUUUUCGGGUUAGGUUGACUGCUGAGGCCAGACGUCUUUUUACAGAACAGAGCACGUACAGGAUUUUUCCCCCCCUUUCUGGAACCGAGCAAGCGCUAGGAGGAAAAAAAAAAAAUCUGUCAAGCUCAGCAAUUUUUUCAAAUCUCGGGGAGAAAAAAAAAGGAAACCCGGUCCUUGAUGUACAUAACAAGAAAAGAAAAGCCAUCCACAAAGCUACAUCUUUAAAACAAAACCAUCACAAUAGACAUUUACCCAGCAAUCACUCCAAUGCAUAUGCAAGCUAGAGAAAUUUUAAAGUCUUAGCCAUUAAACAAAAUCAUUCUACCAUUAUUGUUGUUUAUAAAACGCGUACCGUAUAAACGCAAAAUAGAAAGUUUAAAGCUGAACCACGUACCACUGCAAUGUAAAAAGAGUACGUGAGAAACUGAGAAACUUUAAAAUGUUCAGACGAAUUGCUUCAUUAGUUGUCCCCCUUUUUUUGCAUUAAAAAAGACAUCUAAAUAAACUUGGAACCGUUGAAAACCC